UACGUAGGGGCGAGCGUUGUCCGGAAUCAUUGGGCGUAAAGAGCGUGUAGGCGGCUUGGCAAGUCUGACGUGAAAGCCCGCGGCUCAACCGCGGAUUGUCGUUGGAAACUGCCUCGCUAGAGUCCGGAAGAGGAGAGCGGAAUUCCUGGUGUAGCGGUGGAAUGCGCAGAUAUCGAGGAAGAACACCCGUGGCGAAGGCGGCUCUCUGGGACGGUACUGACGCUGAGACGCGAAAGCGUGGGGAGCGAACAGG
rnacentral:rRNA from 1 species